UACGUAGGGCGCAAGCGUUGUCCGGAAUUAUUGGGCGUAAAGGGCUCGUAGGCGGUCUGUCACGUCGGGAGUGAAAACUCGGGGCUCAACCCCGAGCCUGCUUCCGAUACGGGCAGACUAGAGGUAUGCAGGGGAGAAUGGAAUUCCUGGUGUAGCGGUGAAAUGCGCAGAUAUCAGGAGGAACACCGGUGGCGAAGGCGGUUCUCUGGGCAUUACCUGACGCUGAGGAGCGAAAGUGUGGGGAGCGAACAGG
rnacentral:rRNA from 1 species